CCCAAAAAAGGGCAGCUCUCUCUUCCUCCUGCAUCUACUCAAAUCUCACUUUAUUCUUUAUUCUUUUGCCUUUCUUGAAUGAUCUGUUUCACUUUCCCUACGCUUUACUAUGUUAUAUAUAUAGUUAUAUGAAAAACAAGUCCAGUUUUUGUAAUCAGAUUUGUUUCCAUUUAGCAAGUCUGCUUACGCUGUAUAGAAAAUGAUAUGGGAAAUAGUUUGAAUUACUUGUACAGUGACUAUUUACUGUUAAAUACGAUUUUCUUACCUGGUUUCUUUAUUUUUUCAGGUUUUUUUUAUCAUACUAAUUGAAUUGGAUUCUUUACUUCUUAAACAACUUUUCGAGCUAGUAUAAAAUCAUCUGGAUCAGUCUGCAUGCACAGAGGAGAAGGUGAGUGAGCAUUAAACUGCUACUAAAAAGGUGGGUACUAACUGAACUCAACACUUACUUAUCAAAAUGUGCAGAUUACAAUCAAAAGUAAUGCAAUUUAAUGCAAUUAAAUGUAUACAGGCAACUAUGUUAGAGCAUUAUGUUAAAAACGUUUUGCAAACUAUUGGCAGUACUGUAACUUCAUAGUAUAACCACUGGAAAACUGCUAAAUUACUGUGGUCUACCACAGUACAUUUUUUCAAAAGCUGGAUAUUACAAUAGUUUAAUAGUUUUAUAGUGCUUUUGCAUUAUAAUCCAACAUUUUAAGGAUUUAUAUAAGCAGCCCUGAAAAUUUCUUCUUCAAACUGAACUGCUUCUUCUUUAAAACGUGUUAGAAACUUCAAAUUAAAAAUCCGUUUCAGAUCAGCAGAGCAGUCAAAAGGUGUCGUUCAUUUAAGAAGGACUGAAUGAAAGUCUGCAGCAGAAUGGACAAAAUAAAAAAUUAAAAUCUAAAAAUUGUAUUUCAUUUUUUUAAAUUAAAUAUACCAUAUAUGAAUGCAUAGAGGUCGACAGACAAACUUACUGGUAUAAACUUUGUUUCCUUUUACUUCUACAGCAUUCUCAGAUUUUUUAAAAAAAGAUUUUACAGAUGUUGGAAGCUUGCAGGUUUUAGCAAUAAUCAUUGGGUUAAUGGGUGGACACUGGAGAUCUCAGAUGAUGUUUACUGAGUGUCUGCAGCCCGUUGCAACACGUCUGCGUGUUUGAGCGCUGAGGUAUUUCAAACACACCUGCAGGUGAUGCUGGGAGCGGCACAUUCGGGUCUGGUCUUGUAAGGAGAUGUCAGCCAGGCACAGCUCUGGUAUAGAUUCCACUGCAGGAGCUGCAUGUCCUAGCUGUCCUGUGUAAGGAAAGCUACGUCAAAGAGCACUUUGUACUGUUCAGAUGGAUCACAUAGGUGUUGGCUACCUACCUGAGAGGGUUUUAUUUUGGCUCAGAUUCCAAAAGCACUCCCCUAAAGAAUAAAGAGCUCAGUUAACUGGAUGUCCAUUAGGUGAUACUAGUAACUUAUUUAACUUGAAUUGCUUAGAUCAGAUGGAAUCGUUGGACUUUCAGAGCUCUGAGUAUCAAGAAUAAAUCCACUAAAGGGUUAGAAAAGUUACUAUAGAACAACUGUUUAUAUUGUUUUUAUUAAUGAUGUACUAAAUACAGUAGUACUUACUGAGUGUUUCAUGUCUCCAGGGCCCAAUUUAAAAUUGAAAAACACCUGGAUGAAGAAUAUGCAUGACCAACCAACUGCAAUGGCCUUUGUGAAAAUACACAAGCAAGUACUGUAUUCAGAGCCGUCUGCUAAAACUAAAAUAAUAACGAGAUCAAGGUUUGGUAGACCUGAUUAUGCAUUUCAGAAGACAUGAGUCAGCGCCUUCUGGUCCAUGCAGAGAAGUGAGAAACAUUCUUUCACUGUGAAACAGAGCAUUUGUAUUUAAUAAUCUUGUUAGUUUUGUAACUGAGGAUUUCACGUCAGCAGUGUUACUGUAAAUAAACACAUUCCACCCUUGUUCCAUAAAA